rnacentral:tRNA from 1 species
AGGAGUUUAGCUGAGCGGUUUAGCCAUAAUCUUACACAUUAUAGACAGGGGUUCGAAUCCCUUAACUCCUA